UGCAUUCCACUAUUCAUCAUCUUCUUCAUUUCUCCCCACUUCUCAAAUCCCAUUCCUUUCAUGAUUAAGCAAGAAAUAAAUCAAGAACUCGAAAUCUCCCUCACCCCUACUAAAAUUCUUCUCAUUUUGCCAUGGAAAUCGACAGUUGACCCCAUAUUUGCCCUAAGAUUCGAACCUAACAAAAACACAACCCUCCUCUAAAUUCGAUAGUCAGAUUCAAAUGUUAGGGUUCUUAAUGUUCGAAAUCCAAGCAACAACCAUUUUCCUCCAUAAACAUAUGAAAUCGAGUACAAUCUCCAUGUCUUGCGUUUUCCUUUUGAAAUUCGAACAUAGCCUUCCCAAUCCACCUUCCUCUGAGUUCGAAUCAUAAGGACAACAACCCGCAGCCCUUCUUCUGAAAUUUCAAAAUAAAUUGUUGGUAAUUUCGCUGAUCUUGUUCGAAAACAACCCCCUCUUUUUCCCCUCCGUUCGCAUCUGUUUCUGUCGAACAAGGGGUUGUACUGCAACCCUUCUUGGCAAAACAAACCCCAUUUGUUAAUUCCCUAAUUGUUCUUGAUGUUCCUUUGAAAGCAAACCUCCAUGGAUUCUAAUUCUUUUUGGUAAGUUCACAUCGGGUUGGUUCGACAACAGUAGGCAGCAGCCUUGCUGCGUUCUUUUGAUUCGAAAAUCAGCAGGCCAGGCAACAAUGUUCCUUUGUGUUUCUAAACCGAAAAUGCAAGGAGGAGACGAUUUCUCGGAGGAACCAUUCUAGCUGAUAUUUGUGAAUCGAACCCACCUCUUUGAAGCGUCGUCUUUGUUUGAUCACAGAUCGGAACCGGUCGGAAACGAUGGGUUAGCGGUGUUAAAUAGCGUUCCAAGGAUGUAUAUUGAGCUGAGCACGUAGGAAUUUGUAGAUUUGUAUUAGGAUUUUGGAUAAAUGUAUAUUAGAUUUGGUUGUGUUGGUUAUAUUGGACUUGUAGAGAAUUGUAUGAUUAUCUUGUGUUUUAGUUAGAUGUUGGUUUUGAGAUUUAGCUGAGUUAGUCACGUUGAAGAGCUUGUGACCCCUUUGCUCGAGUUUUGGAAGUGUGAUUUAAAUUUCUUGGGAAAUUACCUCGUGAUGACCCUGUUUACUCAAUUAACGGUAACUCGGGUUGUUACAAUUACCGAGCUAUGUUCGUUCUUCAACACAAUUUGUAGUAAAGUUCUUAAUCCCUUUAAACUUGAUGCUCUUCAAGUCGACGUGAUUGUAACUUUAUGCAAGUUUGAGAUGUAUUUUCCACUUUCUUUAUUUGACAUAAUGGUUCAUCUUAUUGUCCAUCUCGUUCGUGAGAUCAAGCUUUUGUGUCCAGUUUUUUUAAGGUGGUGUUAUCCUUUUGAAAGACACAUGGGUGUUUUACAAAACAAGGUGAGGAAUCCAGCACAACCCGAGGGGAGUAUGAUUCAAGGCACUGUGAGCGAUGAGAUUAGUAACUUUAUAGCCGAGUAUUUGGCCAUGGCAAAGCCUAUUGGACUUCCCAAGACAGCCUUCUACAAGCACACUUGUAUGUGUUGCAUCAUAUUCCGGAAGUUCAUCCUUUUUGAGUGAGCAUCUUGAUAUAUUGCGCGCAAAACAUCCUUCUAAAGGGGAUAGGGCAUUGAUGCAGCUGCAUAACAAGACGUUUAUUAAUUGGUUUCAUAAUCGAGUAAUAUGCGAAGAACUCAAGGGUGUAUCCGACAGUGUUAAGUGGUUAGUUUUUGGUCCUCGUGAUGAUGUCAACAAAUAUGAGGGUUACGAUGUCAAUGGGUUCACAUUUUAGACUGAGGGUCAAGACAAAAAGUCAUCUUAUCUACAGAAUAGUGGGGUUUCUAUUUUGGCGUCAUCUACAUUUUAUGCGAUUUUAAGGGUUUUUAAGUGUUUUUGGCACUUUUGCGCAUAAAGUAGCUCAAACUUGGUUUGUUUCGCACGAAACUUGGCACACAACACUAUUUGGUAUAUAUUAUUGGUUGAAGUGGUUAGAAUUGAAAAUCAUAGCCAUAUGCUAGAAAUUACGUGUUAAGUUGCGAUUUUAUGCGUUUUUAAGCUUUUUUGGCACAUUCGCGCAUAAAGUAGCUCAAACUUGGUUUAUUUUGCACGAAACAUUGCACACAACACUAUUUGGUAUAUAUUAUUUUGUUGAAGUGGUUAGAAUUGAAAAUCAUAGUCAUAUACUAGAAAUUACGUGUUAAAUUGUGAUUUUAUGCGUUUUUAAGCUUUUUUGGCACUUUCGCGCAUAAAGUAGCUCAAACUUGGUUUGUUUUGCACGAAACUUGGCACACAACACUAUUUCGU